rnacentral:misc_RNA from 1 species
GAAGAAAAAAUAAAGAAAGAAAGACAACAAGGGGGAAAAAAUGGAAAACCAGAUUCUCAUUCCUUUCUAUACAGAGAAAGGCAUUGUUACGUUACAAAACCCAAAAUUCAGAAUCACAAUCAGCCACAUUUCCAACAUUUUCCCACCAACAAAAAGGAAAAACCCUAGAGACGCAUCCGAACACAAAUCAAAUCCACAUAAAUGUGAUGAUCCACA